UACAGAGGGGGCAAGCGUUGUUCGGAAUUACUGGGCGUAAAGGGCGCGUAGGCGGCCCCGCUAAGUCGAACGUGAAAAUCCCCCGAGCUCAACUCGGGAACUGCGUCCGAUACUGGCGGGCUUGAAUCCGGGAGAGGGAUGCGGAAUUCCAGGUGUAGCGGUGAAAUGCGUAGAUAUCGGAAGGAACAUCAGUGGCGAAAGCGGCUUCCUGGACCAGUACCGACGUCAGGCACGAAAGCGUGGGGAGCAAACAGG
rnacentral:rRNA from 1 species